rnacentral:rRNA from 1 species
GACGAAGGGGGCUAGCGUUGUUCGGAAUUACUGGGCGUAAAGCGAGUGUAGGCGGUUGUUAUAGUCAGGUGUGAAAGCCUUGAGCUCAACUCAAGAAAUGCACUUGAUACUGAACGACUAGAGUACCGGAGAGGAUAGUGGAAUUCCCAGUGUAGUGGUGAAAUACGUAGAGAUUGGGAAGAACACCAGUGGCGAAGGCGGCUAUCUGGACGGUUACUGACGCUAAGACUCGAAAGCGUGGGGAGCAAACAGG